rnacentral:rRNA from 1 species
AGACGUAGGGGGCGAGCGUUGCUCGGAAUCACUGGGCGUAAAGGACGCGUAGGCGGGUUGGCAAGUCAGAUGUGAAAUCCUACAGCUUAACUGUAGAACUGCAUUUGAAACUGCUAACCUAGAGUAUGGGAGGGGGAGAUGGAAUUAGUGGUGUAGGGGUAAAAUCCGUAGAUAUCACUAGGAAUACCGAAAGCGAAGGCGAUCUCCUGGAACAUAACUGACGCUAAGGCGUGAAAGCGUGGGGAGCAAACAGGAUUAGAAACCCCAGUAGUCC